rnacentral:rRNA from 1 species
UGGGGAAUUUUGGGCAAUGGGCGAAAGCCUGACCCAGCAACGCCGCGUGAAGGAUGAAGUAUUUCGGUAUGUAAACUUCGAAAGAAUAGGAAGAAUAAAUGACGGUACUAUUUAUAAGGUCCGGCUAACUACGUGCCAGCAGCCGCGGUAAUACGUAGGGACCAAGCGUUGUUCGGAUUUACUGGGCGUAAAGGGCGCGUAGGCGGCAAUUCAAGUCAUCUGUGAAAUCUCCGGGCUUAACUCGGAACGGUCAGAUGAUACUGCUUUGCUAGAGUGCAGAAGGGGCAAUCGGAAUUCUUGGUGUAGCGGUGAAAUGCGUAGAUAUCAAGAGGAACACCUGAGGUGAAGACGGGUUGCUGGGCUGACACUGACGCUGAGGCGCGAAAGCCAGGGGAGCAAACGGGAUUAGAUACCCGGGUAGUCCCUGAGCGGGCUGGCAAGGCGCAU